ACGCAUCUAGAACAAGCCGUCCAACCAAAAACAGCAACACCACAUCUCUCCCUGUGGAAUCGAUUGAAGAGAAACCUGAGGAAAUAUACACUUUAGGAAAGCGUAUCAUCCUUUUGUGUGGAACAGCCUGAGUCCUUACAGAGACACCACAGAGAUUGACUAUCUGAUCGUCAUGGCCUCUGUCCAUCAUACCCGGAAUCGAAGAGCUUCAGUAAGAACUGUCCAUCUGUCACACUGACACAUCCUGUCCAUUCAUUUGAUGAAUAUUGGACAUUUAUGAUUUUCACACUGACAAACAUAAUGAGGAAAGUAAUGUAUUUAUAAUUUUACACAGCUAAUGAACAAUUAAUGUGCUAAAGCCUACACAAAACUCCUCUUUAUUCGAUUUAAUGACAUUACUGUUUGGGCAUACAUUAUGACUGGCCUUUCAGUAUUUGUCUGGCAAUAUAUUCUUCUUUUAGUCUUUUACAAGCUUUUAAUGUUUUACAAGCUCCAGCACUGAUCACACAGAGUACGUCACAGAGACGCACUGAACAUCCCACUGGCAAAUAAGAUUAAAAAGAAUGACUGUGAUAUAAUUUAUUGUGUCCUUCAUGUAAGUCCCAAUCAUUUUUAAAAUUCAAGCAUGUUGGAUCAUGCUGCUUGAAGACAGAGUUCAUAAAACGCCUAAAGAGCAUCUUUUAGAUAUGCAUAUGUGCCAUUGUGUGUGAAACCGCUUUGAAAUUCUUAGAUGUUCAACACAGAAACUGAUGAAAGAGAAAGAUGUGUGCAUCCACAUGGUUGGGAGAGAAGUAUUAAAAGAAUGCUGCAGCCGGUAUGAAAGGGUUUAAGAUUAUCAAAGAGAUUUAGGAGAAUAAAUUGGCAGGCAGUUCACUGGCGUGAGGGAUUAUGGCGCAAGAAAAGUGUAAAUGUUUAAUGGCUUGCACUCUCUCACUAUUUUUUUUUUUUUUACAUUUAUUUAUUCUUGGAAGGCACUCAUGUGUCUGGCUUUAGUUCCUGAUAAGCCCAAAGGAGAAAGUAGGUUGCAGCCUUUUUUUCCUCAUUCCAAACACUAUCACUUUCUGGAGACAUUUGGAUGGGGGAAGUAAGAGAUUUAAAGCACAAGGCUUAUUAAAGUUAAGCUACUACGUUUUCCAGUGGACUUGAGUGCAAUUCUUAAACCCGUGAUAUAAAAUGGUGUCUGUUUUUCUCUCCGUCCACUUACCCAAGCACAAAAACAAGUUUUUUUGGGCCUGUGUACAGAAAAAUAUGAGAUUUGCAUUUAUCUGGUAAAAAGCAUAAAAUAGGCAAAAGAGCCACUUGACGCAAGUGUUCUCUCUUUUUUUCCCCUAAGUGAUUCCCCCCCUUUGCAGUCAUCUCUUGUUUUGCCUUGAACACUAUUUUCAUGAAGCUUUGAAAAGAAGCCCCCCCUCCUUUUUUUUGCCAAAGCGCAAUGCAAUUCACCCCAGCUUAUCACUAUUCCUGCAGUCCAAGGUUAUGGUAUUUACUAUUUGCAUUAAAUCCACCAAAGACUGCUUUAAAUUUAAAUACAGACUACUGACUUGACUUUGCCUCACAUGUUAUAUAAAAUACUGUGUUCAAAUAAUAUGAAAUUAACUCAACUGAAAUAGCAUUUGCUUAUCAUUAAAAGAGUUUAAAUGUGAUUCUAACCCGAAGUCGGUGUUGUUUUUUGGUGGCAAUCAGAAUAACGUGGGUCUAAUGUAGGUGUUUUGCAUAAUGUGUUCAGUAUGACUUUCAUUUAAGGUUCAACAAUAAACUAUUUAAAAGCAAGUUGUACCUACAGUACUUUACUAUAAUUAAGGAACCAUUAAUCUAUGACGUUGGAUCUCAGUGGAGCAGGUAGCAUUAGCACCUCACAACUUUGGGUUUCCUCACUCUUACCAAAAACAUGGCAGUAUGUGGAUUGGGCAAGAUAAACUCCUAUUUCUGAAUAUAUGUGUGUGUGUGUGUGUGUGUGUGUGUGUG
ensembl:lncRNA